AAAAGUUCGACAUGGCUCCUCUUAGGUUUCUCUCUGACAACGUUGUAUGUUGUACGGUAGUUGACUGUAGUUCUGUGUCGAUUUUUGUAAUACGUAGCGAAUACGCAGUGUAGUUUUCUACUACUGUUUUCUAUUAUAAGUAUCUAUUGUUUAUUUAUGCAAUGAUUAAUGUGCAGAAUGAAGAUUAUGAAGCUUUAAAGCUGUAGUCAAACCAGAUCUCGUUAUUUUCGUUAAAAUUAAUCGAGGUAGAACGAAACGAAAAUUUAAAAAAGUGAAAAAAGUGACAGCUGUUGCAUCGAAUCUUCAGAGCCAAGAAAAAAGGAAGAUAGUAAUUUAUGAACAAGAGAGGAAUCUUUCUCGUGAUUUGAAAAUUUCGACAAAAUUGAGAACAGCAGUGGCCCAUUGUAUCUCAUAUCAAAAGGAAGAAAAAUCUCGUAUCUCUCUGAAGCAGCAUAGAAUGGAUCACACUCUACCUGUAAAGGCAAACUCCGGAGCCACCGAGUCCUCAGUCGAAGCGCUCGCAACCAUGUCAACCUCCCUACGAUCCAGGCACAGCCGUAGCUCCUUCUUCCUCUGCGGCAACGGAGACGGCGACGCAGCAACAGGCUCCACCUGCUCAGUCGACGCAGAAGGUACGACAUCAUUCGCACCCAAGACACCUUCCGAACCUUCCAUCCAGCAGAUUCAACUGCAGGGUCCGUCGGCAACCCUGCAGUCAGCCCAUCGCUUGAUGACGACAUACCGAGGGCAGGGACAACAGAUCCCCAGUCAGCCGGUCCUGAGUUCCGAAUCUCAGGCGAUUUUUUUCAUUUUCCGUGUCUAUUCCAUGAUGCUAGAUUGCCGGUAGUAGUACGGCCGAGGAGUACGCCGACCAAUUCCCCGGUUCGUCUCUAGUUCUUCACGGCGUCGAGUUGAUGAUCCGCCACGUCGAUGUGGAGGGAACAACAAAGCAAAACUUCCCACUAAAGGGAAGCUUACCCACACACCGACGGAAGACGUCGAUAACCUCCGCCACAGUCCGCGCACAACACCAAGCACCGCACGCGAAGAGAGACUGCAAGACCAACGACGCUCCAAAUACCAGAAGCACGAAGAUUAAUGUCGCUCCACAAAGCAUAACAGUGGGGAGAACCAAGCAGGAAAUACACCGCCACCAACCCUCUCAUCCCUAAGCCACACUUACUGGGAUAACCCAGUACUCCCUCCCCCUUGACUACUAUUGGACGGUUCACCUACCGCCCAUUGGGCGGUCUAUCCACCUGUGGUCGCGCACCAUGGAACAGGGGGAUCUUUUAUAGAGGGCCCACCUCGUCGUUCGAGAAAUCGGGUGCAAUCUCGGACGCUCGGUCUCUUCCAAUGGUGCAAGAGAAGAGAUUACGAGAGUUUAGGCACCGCGGGUUCGCUAUACCUGUAGUGGAAUCAUAUCGAGAUGCGCCCGGGGAUGUUGGAUCGCAUCGGAAAUAAUCCCAAUUGCGGGAAGCCAGAAGUAUUUCCGAGCCUUAAAAUAGAGAGCGCUUGGAUUAAGUGAGCAGUCCAUUGAAAUCCUACGAAACCGGUCGCAUCUAAGAAUGAAAAUUGUAAUAAAGUGAAUUUUGUACAAGAU
rnacentral:misc_RNA from 1 species